rnacentral:misc_RNA from 1 species
UAAACAUAUUAAAAUAGCGUGUACCAAAAUAUAAAGUCACUGCGCACGCUAAAUAGUGACGUCACUGGCUUGAUGAAAUUUAAUUCGCGUGUACCUAACUUUUUUAUUUGCGUACACGUUAGCGUGUACCUAGACACAGCGAAAAAAAAAACAAAAUCAAUAAUUUUUUAGACAGCUCGGAAAUAAAAGGCCAACAAUGAAAAUAUUCAAGGAGAAGAAUAUUUGACAGAUUGUUGCAAAAUUAUAAUUGUUUGUAAACAUUAUACUAUACAUUUAAAUUGGGAUUUAAACAGGUUUUAAAUACCAAUGAAUUCCAUGGAUGAAGCAAAACAAUUUGCUGUAACCUGGAGUAAUCACAUGAACCAUGUAAAACAAGCUUUUGAUAAUUUGUUAAAUAACAGUGAUCUUACAGAUGUUACUUUAUAUGUAGAAGGAAAUAAAAUCGGCGCCCACAAAAUGUUACUUUCAGCUUGUAGCAAUUACUUCAACAACCUCUUCAAAGAUUUUCCCCAAGAACAUCCUAUCAUAGUACUAAAAGGAGUCAGAUGUAGGGUUUUAAAGGAUAUUCUGAAAUUUAUUUAUAGUGGAGAAGUUAGUGUGGAUAGCAGUCACUUUGAUAAUUUUUUACAAACAGCUGAGUUCUUAGAAAUAAGUGGACUAACAAAUAGGCAGAAUGUAGAAGAGUGUGAAAAUGUAGAUACGGAGUUAAUAAAUGGUUCUUCAUCAAAAUCAAAGAGAAUUCGCUCAAGGAAGAAAAAGAUCAAAAUGGAAGUUACAGAAGAGGGAGAAGCUGAUGAUGGUAAUGCAGAGUGGGAUGACCAAGAUUUAACUCCAGUUUUUACAGAAAAUCUAUGUGAUAUUCAAAUUACACAAGGUUCAGAUGAGAUUGAAGUUAAUGAUAUAGUAGUAAAAAAUAAAAGAAAAAUAGACGAAGAAGAUCAACAGGAUUUAAGUAGUGACGACAGCGUGGCAGGUCCGAAUUGUACACCUAAAGUUGAGGGUCAUGUACAAAUAAGUGUUUCAUCAUGCUCUUCUGCCCCUACAAAAUCAUCGAGAAAAAGUAAAUUCGACAAUUUUUUUGACAUUGCUAACGAUCGGCAAAGCGCGAUGUGCAAAUUAUGCUUUUCUGAAAAGAAAAAAAUUAUGAAGCUGAGUAUGUCCCAUAGAAGUACAUCGGGGUUAAGUAAACAUCUACGCCGUGCCCAUAGAGACGAGUUCAACCUACUUGCGGAAAAUAUGGUGCCAGACAGAUUCCCGUCAGCAGACUGAAAACUCUUUUGGAUAAACAAACGUUUUAGGACCUAAUCUUCACAACCCAAUAGGUCUCCAUAACGCUCGAGUAACUGCAAAUUCAGCAUACUUUCCUCCCCUACUAUUACAUUACCAGCAAGACUGUAAAAUAAUAUACAGGGCGUUUUAUUUAAUUCUUGAUGUUGUUUACGAAGGUUGUGCAUCAAAAUCAAGGACUUUCGAGGAGGACCUUGUAGACUGGUAGAACAUUAAAAAUAAGUUGUAAAAUUAUAUUAUAGGUGUUAAAAAAUAAACUCUGUAUGCCUCUUCCAA